UACGUAGGGGGCAAGCGUUGUCCGGAAUCAUUGGGCGUAAAGAGCGUGUAGGCGGUCCGGUAAGUCCGCUGUGAAAGUCCAGGGCUCAACCCUGGAAUGCCGGUGGAUACUGCCGGGCUAGAGUCCGGAAGAGGCGAGUGGAAUUCCUGGUGUAGCGGUGAAAUGCGCAGAGUAUCAGGAGGAACACCGAUGGCGAAGGCAGCUCGCUGGGACGGUACUGACGCUGAGACGCGAAAGCGUGGGGAGCAAACAGG
rnacentral:rRNA from 1 species